rnacentral:rRNA from 1 species
AACGAACGCUGGCGGCGUGCCUAACACAUGCAAGUCGAGCGAGAAAGCCCGCAAGGGUGAGUGAAGCGGCGCACGGGUGCGUAACACGUGGGUAAUCUGCCCUGAAGUCCGGAAUAACUCGCCGAAAGGCGUGCUAAUGCCGGAUAAGACCACGGGAACCUCGGUUCCUGCGGGAAAAGGUGGCCUCUGUACACAAGCUAUCAAUUCAGGAUGAGCCCGCGGCCCAGCAGCUAGUUGGCGGGGUAAUGGCCCACCAAGGCUACGACGGGUAGCUGGUCUAAGAGGACGAUCAGCCACACUGGAACUGAGACACGGUCCAGACUCCUACGGGAGGCAGCAGUGGGGAAUCUUGCGCAAUGGGCGAAAGCCUGACGCAGCAACGCCGCGUGUGAUGAAGGUCUUCGGAUCGUAAAGCACUGUCGGGAGGGACGAAUAGGGCGCCGGCUAACAUCCGGCGCUGAUGACGGUACCUCCAAAGGAAGCACCGGCUAACUCUGUGCCAGCAGCCGCCGUAAUAC